rnacentral:rRNA from 1 species
AUUGAACGCUGGCGGCAUGCUUUACACAUGCAAGUCGGACGGCAGCACAGAGAAGCUUGCUUCUUGGGUGGCGAGUGGCGCACGGGUGAGUAACAUAUCGGAACGUACCGAGCAGUGGGGGAUAACUAAUCGAAAGAUUAGCUAAUACCGCAUAUCUUCUGAGGAAGAAAGCAGGGGACCAUUUGGCCUUGCGCUGUUUGAGCGGCCGAUAUCGGAUUAGCUAGUUGGUGGGGUAAAGGCCUACCAAGGCGAAGAUCAGUAGCGGAUCUGAGAGGAUGAUCCGCCACACUGGAACUGAGACACGGCCCAGACUCCUACGGGAGGCAGCAGUGGGGAAUUUUGGACAAUGGGCGAAAGCCUGAUCGAGCCAUGCCGCGUGUCUGAAGAAGGCCUUCGGGUUGUAAAGGACUUUUGUCAGGGAAGAAAAGGGGGGGGUUAAUACCCCUGUCUGAUGACGGUACCUGAAGAAUAAGCACCGGCUAACUACGUG